UACACACUCAGAAUCCUAACUCAGGCUACCU
rnacentral:piRNA from 1 species